rnacentral:rRNA from 1 species
CUACGGGGGGCAGCAGUAGGGAAUCUUAGACAAUGGGGGAAACCCUGAUCUAGCCAUGCCGCGUGAGUGAUGAAGGCCUUAGGGUUGUAAAGCUCUUUCGCUGGGGAAGAUAAUGACGGUACCCAGUAAAGAAACCCCGGCUAACUCCGUGCCAGCAGCCGCGGUAAUACGGAGGGGGUUAGCGUUGUUUGGAUUACUGGGCGUAAAGCGCGCGUAGGCGGGCUAUUAAGUCAGGGGUGAAAUCCCGGGGCUCAACCCCGGAACUGCCUUUGAUACUGGUAGUCUUGAGUUCGAGAGAGGUGAGUGGAAUUCCGAGUGUAGAGGUGAAAUUCGUAGAUAUUCGGAGGAACAUCAGUGGCGAAGGCGACUCACUGGCUCGAUACUGACGCUGAGGUGCGAAAGUGUGGGGAGCAAACAGGAUUAGAUACCCGCGUAGUC